UGCGGAUUUUCUGGGGAAGGGGCCAUUGCAGCUGCCUUACAGCAAUCAGCUGGAGCAGAGGGGCAGUAGCUCACUUUGGACAGGACAAGCAUUCCAGUUCGCCAGAAUCCCACCACUUACUCCUCUCCCCUGACCUUGAAGGUGAAUGCUUUCACCACCUGCGACACCGGCUUCCACCGAAUCAGUUGGCCCACAUUUGAGAGCCCUCAUCUGCUUGGGAGAGACACCCCAUUUAGACACCAUAAUUGUGAUUAAGAUAUCCUUUUUUUCCCCCUCUGCAGAUUUUAUAAAACAAGUACAAUAAAUCCACUUUAUGUCAAGGAGAAGGAACUUGAAGCCAGAGGAGUACAUGGAACAUUUUAGUUAAUUUAUCUGUUCCCUGAGAAAUGUCCUCAGGGCCCUGCAUGAAUAUGGGUGUAUCCCUGGCACAGCUGAUUAAGAACAAAUGUUUCCUGGAUUUCUAUCCCAUUAAGUACCUAUUUUUUUUUUUCUUAAGAUAUAAGUUUGGUGCCUAAUUUCUUUCCUUCCUGGCCUGUACAAAUUCUUUGCCUUCCUCUGUUCAAACUAUAGACUUUUUGAGACUACCAGCUGGGAUCUGAUAUUUCAGAACACAACCUGGGAAUUACCUGACCCUCAUGUAGUAGGGGGGGGAUAAAACAUUCCUUAUGAAUCUGAGAAUGGAAAAAUGAAAUGUUACAGAAACAUACAGUUAAAAGAGAAAACGAAAAUGUAACAUCUUUGUCCAAUAAAGGAUCAAAUGUAUUAUUUUAGGUUAUAGAUAAUUGAAUGUAAGAAACAGACACAUUAAUUUAUGUUUGGAUUAUGAUUUCCUGGUGUCAGCGGACACUUAAUUGUUGUAUGUAAAUAAAGCUUUGUUGUAAACA